GCCAGUGUGGUGCAGUGGUUUCAGUGCUGGUCUACAACUCAGGAGACCAGAGUUCAAAUCCCAGCUCAGCCA